AAGAAAGUAAGUAAGGGCGUAUGGGGGAUGCCUAGGCUCUUGGAGGCUAAGAAGGACGUGGUAAGCUGCGAAAAGCUGCGGGGAUUUGCAAACGAGACUCGAUCCGCAGAUAUCCGAAUGGGACAACCCGGCAGGUAGAAGACCUGUCACACCGCGAGGUGAGCUAACCCUCUGAACUGAAACAUCUAAGUAGGAGGAGGAAAAGAAAGAAACAUCGAUUUCCAAAGUAGCGGCGAGCGAAAUGGAAGAAGCCCAAACCGAUAUUGUUACGGCAAUAUCGGGGUUGUAGGACUGCAAUAUUCAAUUAACAAUGAACUGGAAUGGUCUGGAAAGUCCAUCCAUAGAGAGUGAAAGGCUCGUACAGGUAAGUUUGUUAUGCGAAAGCAGUAUCCUGAGUAUGGCGGGACACGAGGAAUCCUGUCAGAAUCAGCCGGGACCACCCGGUAAGGCUAAAUACUCCCAAGAGACCGAUAGUGGACCAGUACUGUGAAGGAAAGGUGAAAAGAACCCCGAACAGGGGAGUGAAAUAGAACCUGAAACCAUACGCUUACAACCGGUCGGAGCAGCUUCGUGCUGUGACGGCGUGCCUAUUGAAUAAUGAGCCUACGAGUUACUAAUCACUAGCGAGGUUAAGUGCAAGGAUGCACGGAGCCGAAGCGAAAGCGAGUCUGAACAGGGCGUUUAGUUAGUGGUUGUAGACGCGAAACCUUGCGAUCUACCCUUGAGCAGGUUGAAGGUUGGGUAAAACCAACUGGAGGACCGAACGAAUAAGCGUUGAAAAGCUUCUCGAUGACUUGAGGGUAGGGGUGAAAGGCUAAUCAAGCUGGGAAAUAGCUCGUACUCCCCGAAAUGCCUUUUGGGGCAGCGUUGUAAUAAAGAGUCUACUGGAGGUAGAGCUACUGAUUGGAUGCGGGGGCUUCACCGCCUACCAAAUCCUGACAAACUCCGAAUGCCAGUAGUAUGAUUUACAGCAGUGAGUGACUGGGUGCUAAUGUCCAGUCGCAAAAGAGGAACAACUCAGACCAGCAACUAAGGUCCCGAAGAAUAUGCUAAGUUGAUCUAACGAUGUUUUGUUGCAGAGACAGCUAGGAUGUUAGCUUGGAAGCAGCUAUUCAUUCAAAGAGUGCGUAACAGCUCACUAGUCGAGCGACAGAGCGUGGAUAAUAAACGGGCAUCAAGCAUAUCACCGAAGUUCUGGGCGCGAGAGCGCGGUAGGGGAGCAUUCCAUUCAGCGUCGAAGCAGUUUCGUGAGGAAUUGUGGAGCGUAUGGAAAAGCAAAUGUAGGCAUGAGUAACGAUAAUGCGGGAGAGUAACCCGCACACCGCAAGACCAAGGUUUCCUGAUCAACGCUAAUCGGAUCAGGGUUAGUCGGGUCCUAAGGGUAAGCCGAACGGCGAUCUCGAUGGAUAAUCGGUUAAUAUUCCGAUACUAACAUAUACCUCGAUGGAGAGACGAAGGAACGUAAGUGCCGCCACCUGACGGAAUAGGUGGUUAAAGGGCGUAGGUAUAGGGGCAG
rnacentral:rRNA from 1 species